rnacentral:rRNA from 1 species
AUUGAACGCUGGCGGCAUGCCUUACACAUGCAAGUCGAACGAGUGUAGCAAUACACAAGUGGCGAGCGGGUGAGUAAUGCAUCGGAACGUAUCCUAUUGUGGGGGAUAACGUAGCGAAAGUUACGCUAAUACCGCAUAAGACCUGAGGGUGAAAGCGGGGGAUCUUCGGACCUCGCGCGAUAGGAGCGGCCGAUGUCGGAUUAGCUAGUAGGUGGGGGAAAGGCUUACCUAGGCGACGAUCCGUAGCGGGUCUGAGAGGAUGAUCCGCCACACGGGGACUGAGACACGGCCCAGACUCCUACGGGAGGCAGCAGUGGGGAAUUUUGGACAAUGGGCGCAAGCCUGAUCCAGCCAUGCCGCGUGAGUGAAGAAGGCCUUCGGGUUGUAAAGCUCUUUCGGACGGAAAGAAAUUGCUUCGGAUAAUACCUGGAGUAGAUGUCGGUACCGUAAGAAGAAGCACCGGCUAACUACGUGCCAGCCGCCGCGGUAA